rnacentral:rRNA from 1 species
CCUACGGGGGGCAGCAGUGAGGAAUAUUGGUCAAUGGGCGGGAGCCUGAACCAGCCAAGUCGCGUGAGGGACGACGGUCCUAUGGAUUGUAAACCUCUUUUGUCGGGGAACAAAGGCGUCCACGGGUGGGCGGAUGAGUGUACCCGAAGAAAAAGCAUCGGCUAACUCCGUGCCAGCAGCCUCGGUAAUACGGGGGAUGCGAGCGUUAUCCGGAUUUAUUGGGGUUAAAGGGUGCGUAGGGGGACAGCAAAGUCAGCGGGAAAAAUGCGGUGCUAAACGCCGUACAGCCGUUGAAACUGGUAGUCUAGAGUGGGCGAGAAGUAUGCGGAAUGCGUGGUGUAGCGGUGAAAUGCAUAGAUAUCACGCAGAACUCCGAUUGCGAAGGCAGCAUACCGG